CCUACGGGAGGCAGCAGUGAGGAAUAUUGGUCAAUGGACGAGAGUCUGAACCAGCCAAGUGGCGUGAAGGAUGACUGCCCUAUGGGUUGUAAACUUCUUUUAUAUGGGAAUAAAAUGUUCCACGUGUGGGAUUUUGUAUGUACCAUAUGAAUAAGGAUCGGCUAACUCCGUGCCAGCAGCCGCGGUAAUACGGAGGAUCCGAGCGUUAUCCGGAUUUUUUGGGUUUAAAGGGAGCGUAGGUGGAUUGUUAAGUCAGUUGUGAAAGUUUGCGGCUCAACCGUAAAAUUGCAGUUGAAACUGGCAGUCUUGAGUACAGUAGAGGUGGGCGGAAUUCGUGGUGUAGCGGUGAAAUGCUUAGAUAUCACGAAGAACUCCGAUUGCGAAGGCAGCUCACUGGACUGCAACUGACACUGAGGCUCGAAAGUGUGGGUAUCAAACAGGAUUAGAUACCCGAGUAGUC
rnacentral:rRNA from 1 species